rnacentral:rRNA from 1 species
GAUGAACGCUGGCGGCGUGCCUAAUACAUGCAAGUCGAGCGAACAGACGAGGAGCUUGCUCCUCUGACGUUAGCGGCGGACGGGUGAGUAACACGUGGAUAACCUACCUAUAAGACUGGGAUAACUUCGGGAAACCGGAGCUAAUACCGGAUAAUAUAUUGAACCGCAUGGUUCAAUAGUGAAAGACGGUUUUGCUGUCAAUUAUAGAUGGAUCCGCGCCGCAUUAGCUAGUUGGUAAGGUAACGGCUUACCAAGGCAACGAUGCGUAGCCGACCUGAGAGGGUGGGCGGCCACACGGGAACUGAGACACGGUCGAGACUCCUACGGGAGGCAGCAGUAGGGAAUCUUCCGCAAUGGGCGAAAGCUUGACGGAGCAACGCCGCGUGAGUGAUGAAGGUCUUCGGAUCGUAAAACUCUGUUAUUAGGGAAGAACAAAUGUGUAAGUAACUAUGCACGUCUUGACGGUACCUAAUCAGAAAGCCACGGCUAACUACGUG